GCCACAGUCUGUGUACUCAGGACUCCCUUUCUUUAAAUGAUGGUCAAGAAGUCAAGCCUUUGCGGUGGGAGCGGCGAGCUUUUCCACUGAAGGAUGAGGAUACAGCAGCCUUAUUAUGCCAAGAUGAAAGAAAGGAUCUGACUGAGGGGGCAAGCACAGCCUUCCGUGAUGAAGCCUUCUGUAGCACUACACCUGAGAAUAGCCACCCUCCAAGUGUGCAGUUAGAUGGAAUGGAAGAAUAUAAAAUCUUUGGUAUAGGAGUCACUAGUGUUAAAAGAAAUAGGUGACAGGGAACAUAUUAAGAAAAGUAUGUAACUGAAAGGUAAAGAGGAAAAAAGCCCUAAACCCUCUCUUCUGGAUCUCUACCUCCUCUGGUCACAGUCCCACAGGAGGGAGUGCCGCAUGUACCCAUAUUUCACCGUUCAGGGGAUAGGCCGGAGUCCCUUUUCCUUCCUGACUCACAGAAGUAGCUACUUCUCACCCACACAAAUGCUAGUGACUUGUGCUUGCCAAUAAUACAAAUCACAAGCACUAAGACACUAACUGCUGCAAUCCAUGCCAAGUCACACCUCGGGCAUUUGUUGACAUAAGAGCCCUCCUUCUUUGUUUCUAUUCUCAUGGCAGUUCACUAGAAUUGCUGCAAUAACAUAUGAAAAUAUACGAGUGUGUAUACAGAAUAUAUACACAUAUGAUACACACAUAUGUAGUCUUAAAACUGCAUGUAUGAACUACUCUAUGCAAUAAGUUGCCAUGAAUACCUAGCACAGGUGCUCACUGAUGACAGACACCUGAAAGCUUUGACUGUGGGGAGCGAGUUGUGUUUUCUUUUAUUCUAAACAUUGUUUAACCAAUAUAAGUUAUUUAUGGAGAUUCUUAUAUCAGAUAACGCAACAUUCAUUUAUUUGAAAUCAUUGUUCUCUCCUGGACUAACCACAGGCUUUCUGCUUACUCCUAACAAAAUUAAGAGAAGCAACUUAAGAGUUUAAUAUAUUGAUACGUUUAAAAACUAUUGUCGUUGGAAAUUCACUCUGAGUUUUACUUGCUUUAUGUACUUCUUCAAGAUAGCAAUUUAAAAUAUAAAACAGCAUACAAAUCAUAAUAUGGUUGUAAGUCUAGCUAAUAUACAGCCAGAAGCUUCUAAUUUGUUUUUUCCUUACUAUAGCUUACAUAAAUACCUACUCUUACAGGCAUCCUAGAUCAAGGAUUCAAGUUUUCCAAGACCAAGACUUUAAUAUAGAAUACUGAGGAGUGUACAUUAAGGAAAAUUCUUUUUGAAGCCAUACCAUUUUUUUUCCUAGAUGAAAGUUAAGUACAAUUUGUAUCAACCACUUUUUGUUAUGCAAAGAAAGGUUACUUGAUUUGUAGUUCCCAUACUACUGAGAAUCCUGGCCACGGAGCUUGCACUCUGUGGGAUUAGAUACAUAAGGUGUUGUUGAGGAUUGGAAAUGCAACUGAUCCCUGCAGAAGGGGGAGGGGGGAACCAUUUAAAUUCAAUACUUACAAACUUUUGCUUAUAGUUUUACUGUACAUUUAUUUUUAAAGAAAAAGAACAAAAGCCAGAAAAAUACAAGUUGUCCCAGCAAAUAAAUUCAAAUCUUUGUCAUGACUGAUAUUAUAACCUUCUACAUAGUUUUUUUAAUUAAAGUUAUUUCUAUAUGCCUUGUAUUGUGUGAUUUGAUUAAAUGAACAAACCUUUGGUAAGCUAAAAUAGAAACAAGUAUUAAUAUCUGUCAUCUCUUAGCUCCCUUCUUCUUUGUUAGAAAUGUUUUAUAUAUCCAUCCAUCCUUGGGGUCAAAAUCUGUACUUCCCAAGUAUUCUUGACUUACUCUGAUUCUGCUAGAGGAUACAGUUACACUGAAAAUAAGAAAAGUAAACUUCCUUUUCUCUAACAUCUCAGGAGCUCUGUUUGUAGUCAGAGCAGCAGUGCCCACCAGAAACUGCUUCUGCUAUACCAGGUUUUCUAUGUAUCAGGCUACUGUGGAGCCUUACUUUUCUAAUAGGAAAAGAAUACCUGUUCCAACAAUUAUAGGACAAUUUAGCAGUUAAUUUGAUUAUACAAAAGUGCUUAAUCACUCAAAACAGACAUGAUGCUUGCCAUUUUAUG
rnacentral:lncRNA from 1 species